UAAUGCCUGGGAAAUUGCCCUGAUGUGGGGGAUAACCAUUGGAAACGAUGGCUAAUACCGCAUGAUGCCUACGGGUCAAAGAGGGGGACCUUCGGGCCUCUCGCGUCAGGAUAUGCCCAGGUGGGAUUAGCUAGUUGGUGAGGUAAGGGCUCACCAAGGCGACGAUCCCUAGCUGGUCUGAGAGGAUGAUCAGCCACACUGGAACUGAGACACGGUCCAGACUCCUACGGGAGGCAGCAGUGGGGAAUAUUGCACAAUGGGCGCAAGCCUGAUGCAGCCAUGCCGCGUGUGUGAAGAAGGCCUUCGGGUUGUAAAGCACUUUCAGUUGUGAGGAAGGUGGUGUUGUGAAUAGCACCAUCAUUUGACGUUACCUACAGAAGAAGCACCGGCUAACUCCGUGCCAGCAGCCGCGGUAAUACGGAGGGUGCGAGCGUUAAUCGGAAUUACUGGGCGUAAAGCGCAUGCAGGUGGUUUGUUAAGUCAGAUGUGAAAGCCCCGGGCUCAACCUGGGAAUUGCAUUUGAAACUGGCAAACUAGAGUACUGUAGAGGGGGGUAGAAUUUCAGGUGUAGCGGUGAAAUGCGUAGAGAUCUGAAGGGAAUACCGGUGGCGAAGGCGGCCCCCUGGACAGAUACUGACACUCAGAUGCGAAAGCGUGGGGGAGCAAACAGGAUUAGAUACCCUGGUAGUCCACGCCGUAA
rnacentral:rRNA from 1 species